rnacentral:rRNA from 1 species
GAGACCCCAGAUCAGGUGGGACUACCCGCUGAGUUUAA